CUGGUCUGAUCCAGACCUAACUGGUCUAGGAGGUCCAUCUAUCUGGUCUGAUCCAGACCUAACUGGUCUAGGAGGUCCAUCUAUCUGGUCUGAUCCAGACCUAACUGGUCUAGGAGAUCCAUCCAUGUGAUCUAUUCUGAUCUGGACAGGAGAUAGUCAAUAUUACAUACAAAAGAAAUAAAAAUCUUUAAGAUAAUAUUCCUGGAAAAACAUUGUUAUAUAUACUAGAAUAUAAUGGAUGGUGUUAGAUACAGCAUGUACACAAUCACAUCCCACCAUUCUGAGAUCCUAUUGGUCAGCUAGGAACCAAGAAAGAAAAGAAAACUGCUUCUAGAAUCCCCAUAUCAAUUCCUCAUCAAGUUCUUGCCAAUUUGCUACAGGUCCAUAGAAUGACAUGGCACCAGGCACAGAAAUGUUCCAAAUACAUCAUAGUAAACAAGUGUAAAACACACCAAAUCAUUUGACCUCUGACCGUACCGUUUUCCAGCCAAUCCAAUUUUAGAAGACAAAAAAACCUGGCAAAAAAUUUGGAGUAGCAUAACAUUUGGUUUGAUUUUAUUGGCUGGGGAGGGGCAGAGACUACCAUAGGCAUAACAUUUGGUUUGAUUUUAUUGGCUGGGGCUGGGGAGAGACCACCAUAGGCAUGUCAUUUGGUUUGAUUUUAUUGGCUGGGAAGAGACUCCCUUAGAAAUAAAAUGCCUAGAGUGGUUAUGCCUAUGGAAACUCACCGACCGACCACACAGCUGUUAAAUAUAUAUAUUAUCUCUGGACGGGGACUAGAGGUCUCACCGACCGACCACCUCCGUGAUCUCAGCAGCCAUUUGAAUGGUCCCCCGAAUUCACUUAACCAAAAUAUAAAAUGCAACAUGUAAAGUGUUGGUCACAUGUUUCAUGAGCUGAAAUAAAAGAUCCCAGAAAUGUUCCAUGUGCACAAAUUCGUUUACAUCCCUGUUAGUGAGCAUUUCUCCUUUGCCAAGAUAAUCCAUCCACCUGACAGGUUUGGCAUAUCAAAAAGAUAAAC
ensembl:lncRNA